AUUGAACGCUGGCGGCAGGCCUAACACAUGCAAGUCGAGCGGUAACACAGGGAGCUUGCUCCCGGGUGACGAGCGGCGGACGGGUGAGUAAUGUCUGGGAAACUGCCUGAUGGAGGGGGAUAACUACUGGAAACGGUAGCUAAUACCGCAUAACGUCGCAAGACCAAAGAGGGGGACCUUCGGGCCUCUUGCCAUCAGAUGUGCCCAGAUGGGAUUAGCUAGUAGGUGGGGUAAUGGCUCACCUAGGCGACGAUCCCUAGCUGGUCUGAGAGGAUGACCAGCCACACUGGAACUGAGACACGGUCCAGACUCCUACGGGAGGCAGCAGUGGGGAAUAUUGCACAAUGGGCGCAAGCCUGAUGCAGCCAUGCCGCGUGUAUGAAGAAGGCCUUCGGGUUGUAAAGUACUUUCAGCGGGGAGGAAGGUGUUGAGGUUAAUAACCUCAGCAAUUGACGUUACCCGCAGAAGAAGCACCGGCUAACUACGUGCCAGCAGCCGCCGUAA
rnacentral:rRNA from 1 species